AUUGAACGCUGGCGGCAUGCCUUACACAUGCAAGUCGAACGGCAGCACGGGAGCAAUCCUGGUGGCGAGUGGCGAACGGGUGAGUAAUAUAUCGGAACGUGCCCAGUCGUGGGGGAGUAACGUAGCGAAAGACUACGCUAAUACCGCAUACGAUCUAUGGAUGAAAGACGGGGGAGUCGCAAGACCUCGCGCGAUUGGAGCGGCCGAUAUCAGAUUAGGUAGUUGGUGGGGUAAAGGACCUACCAAGCUUCGAUCUGUAGCUGGUCUGAGAGGACGACCAGCCACACUGGAACUGAGACACGGUCCAGACUCCUACGGGAGGCAGCAGUGGGGAAUUUUGG
rnacentral:rRNA from 1 species